CCUACGGGAGGCAGCAGUGGGGAAUUUUGGACAAUGGGCGCAAGCCUGAUCUAGCAAUGCCGCGUGCAGGAUGAAGGCCUUCGGGUUGUAAACUGCUUUUGUACGGAACGAAACGGUGAGCUCUAAUACAGUUUGCUAAUGACGGUACCGUAAGAAUAAGCACCGGCUAACUACGUGCCAGCAGCCGCGGUAAUACGUAGGGUGCGAGCGUUAAUCGGAAUUACUGGGCGUAAAGCGUGCGCAGGCGGUGAUGUAAGACAGAUGUGAAAUGCCCGGGCUCAACCUGGGACCUGCAUUUGUGACUGCAUCGCUAGAGUACGGUAGAGGGGGAUGGAAUUCCGCGUGUAGCAGUGAAAUGCGUAGAUAUGCGGAGGAACACCGAUGGCGAAGGCAAUCCCCUGGACCUGUACUGACGCUCAUGCACGAAAGCGUGGGGAGCAAACAGGAUUAGAUACCCUGGUAGUCCACGCCCUAAACGAUGUCAACUGGUUGUUGGGUCUUCACUGACUCAGUAACGAAGCUAACGCGUGAAGUUGACCGCCUGGGGAGUACGGCCGCAAGGUUGAAACUUAAAUGAAUUGACGG
rnacentral:rRNA from 1 species